UACGUAGGGGGCAAGCGUUGUCCGGAUUUAUUGGGCGUAAAGAGCGUGUAGGCGGCCUUACAGGUCAGCUGUGAAAACUCGAGGCUCAACCUCGAGACGUCGGUUGAAACCGUAAGGCUAGAGUCCGGAAGAGGAGAGUGGAAUUCCCGGUGUAGCGGUGAAAUGCGCAGAUAUCGGGAAGAACACCCGUGGCGAAGGCGGCUCUCUGGGACGGUACUGACGCUGAGA
rnacentral:rRNA from 1 species